UGGGGAAUUUUGCGCAAUGGACGAAAGUCUGACGCAGCAACGCCGCGUGAGUGAAGAAGGCCCUUGGGUCGUAAAGCUCUUUUCUGAGGGAAGAGACCAGACGGUACCUCAGGAAUAAGCACCGGCUAACUACGUGCCAGCAGCCGCGGUAAUACGUAGGGUGCAAGCGUUAAUCGGAAUUACUGGGCGUAAAGCGUGCGCAGGCGGUUGUGUAAGUCAGAUGUGAAAUCCCCGGGCUCAACCUGGGAAUUGCAUUUGAGACUGCACGGCUAGGGUGUGUCAGAGGGGGGUAGAAUUCCACGUGUAGCAGUGAAAUGCGUAGAUAUGUGGAGGAAUACCGAUGGCGAAGGCAGCCCCCUGGGAUAACACUGACGCUCAUGCACGAAAGCGUGGGGAGCAAACAGGAUUAGAUACCCUGGUAGUCCACGCCCUAAACGAUGUCUACUAGUUGUCGGGUCUUAAUUGACUUGGUAACGCAGCUAACGCGUGAAGUAGACCGCCUGGGGAGUACGGUCGCAAGAUUA
rnacentral:rRNA from 1 species